rnacentral:lncRNA from 1 species
GCAGAUCACAUUUACCAUCCUCCUCCCUUACCUCUUCAAUGAAUAGGCCUCUACAUUAUGGACAAGACUUCACCCUCCCUUCAGCUCUGAUGAAUAUAACAGGAAACCUGUUUGAACACCUGGCUAUGGAUACGGAGAACAUCAAGACAUUAACAUCAACACGCCAGAGGAUAUAUCCAUUGGACCUGGGGCUCUGCUGGGGGUUUACCUCAUAUUUAGAUUUUUUUAUUCUGCUUUGCCACUAAAAUCAUAAUAAACACUGACAAUUAAAGAUUGUGUUAUUUUGUUAUUGUUAUGUGUAUUAUUAAUAAUAAUAAUAAUUUUAGGGGAGGGGGGUAUAUACCCCCUUCAAAGGCACUUAUUUUUAAGCUUUAUUUUUUAUCAGGGAUUCAUACUGAG